UUUAAGUAUAAUCGUGUGUGACCGUCCGUCUUAUUUAAUUUUUUUUAUAAUUAGUAUUUUUAUUGUUAUUAAAUGAUAAAACAUGAACAACACUUUAUACGUGACUUAUUUUUUUAAAAAAAUUCAGAUAAAACGGACAUUUAAUCAUUGGAAAAAAAACAUACAUCUGCACUUAAA
rfam:Oryza sativa (indica cultivar-group) chromosome 6, whole genome shotgun sequence.